UCACAGUUAAUCCCAACUGAAAAUAGAGUCAAUCUGUAACAUACAGAAAGAUAUCCACAUGCCGGCAGCAGCUGAGGACUUCAAAGGCAGGCCACUCAGAGCUUGAAGCUGAGGAAAGCACUCGUGUGCUCAGCAGGCCAGAACAGAAAACACAACUGAGGCCUCUUCCAUCCGUUUGAGGGACAGACCUCGAUCAGAGCUCAUCUCUGCUCCUGUGGGCCACGUCUCUUUCAGGAAAGCUGGACGACUUGACCUCCUCUGGGCUCCUCCCAACAUUCUCUCUCUCUCUCUCUCUCUCUUUGUCUCCCCACCCCACUCUUUUAUGUAUGUAUCUAUCUAUAGUCCGGCAGAUGCAAGCCCCAUUUGUACUUCCCUUGACACUCCUGCAGGGGCUUUGCUUAGGGAUGCGGGAGCCACAGCCAAUCCCGACCGUGGCUCAUGGAUCAACCUGACACUUUAUGAGCAUCAGCAGAUUAUGAGCUAUAGGACCCUGACAGUGCUGUAUUGUUCUCCCAUCUAAAUAUGAACAAUACGGUCCGACCAGCGUGCCACUGACAGCUUAUUCCCUCUUAUCACUCCUGUGGUGUGGCGGGACAUGAUCUGUUGGGCUUCUCUCUCUGCACACACAAACACAAGCAUAUGCAUGGAAACAUAGACCUUCAUCUGUGGUUUUGCUCAGGCAAGGCAAAACCUGACACUCAGAAGCGCAUAUAUAGUUGCACAUAUCUUGGCAAACUUUAGCGAGCGGACAUGCAAACAACUGUAGAAAAACCCUGACGUGCUAUAAAAAGCUGCAUCAUCUGAAUAAGAAACUGUUUUACCAAAAAGGGAACACAUCUAUUAAUCUGUUCAUUAUUCUGGUGAUAGAUUUUUCAGCUCUGUACCGGGUUAUCAUGUAUAUCUACAUGGCGUAAUCACUGGCAUCACAGAUUAAAACCACCGGCUAUGUCAUCCAUUUAUUUAAAUUCUUUUCCGAGCAAACUGUGACAAAUGUAACAACCUUUAAUUAUUCAGUCGUCCCAUCCAGAAGGGGCGCGCCUGAGCAUCAUAUGGGGCGUUUGUAAAGAUAAGGCAUUCAGAAUCCUGAAAUAAGAUAGGAAAUAGGUAAUUGCUUAGUCAUUUUAUACAGCUCAAGUAAUUGUAAGAGACAGAUACAAAUUUACCUAUAACCAGCAUUUCUACAUUUACCGUGUAUUAGCCAUUCUAAUCCUUUGUCUGUAAAAGCAGAAACUUCGGGAGUGGCAAACGUGAAAAAAAGAACACCCAGCAUUGUGUCAAAAAUGGAUAACCUGAACGGUUGGGUUAAAUUAACACAAAUGGGUAAUAUGUGAUCCAACAAUAGAAUAGACUUGAAACAACCCAGCAUUUAUAAGCCAACGGCUGGGUUUGUUAAUUUUUUGACACAACGAUGGGUUGAAAUAACCCAACAAUUGUUUGUGUUU